rnacentral:lncRNA from 1 species
UGAAAAAUACCAAUCAGGAGAUAUAGAUAAGAAACAUAUGAUUUUGGGCAUCGCGGGAGGCAGACAUUUUUUCUUUUUUGAUAGAAAGNNNNNNCAACAAAACAAAUCAUGCUAGAUGCUCGACUUGAAGUCAUGACCUGGGUUCAAAACCUUGGAAAGGAAAUGAUUUCAAGCUUGCGAAAUUGACCAAAGAUUCCAGAAGACAUGGCACAUGGUCGGUCAUCCAAUCAUGAGUGCGCCAAACCGAAGACUGGAAACUUUCAAUUAGGUCGCCUAAAAUGUAGAGAAUUGUGCACAUCACAUCACAUCGCCAUAACAUAACACCAGCACACAGGAUGUCGGGAUGAAUAGCAACCUCAUGGUUACCAAGAUGAGCAGGUGCAUUUUACAGGACCUCAAAAAUGGGCUGAGCGGGAAAGCCCACCCCCCUCAUCACUACAUUACCAGGCAUAUAUAUAUAAAUAGAGUCACGCAACCAACCAGGGUACUUGACACACUCGACUCUGCGAGCUACCAUUAACACAACGAUAGUUAGACAGUAUGACUUGACUGGUCCAGCAAUAAGAUGAUCAACCACAUGGCAACCCCAGACUUACACUUGCUUGNNN